UAAACUUCUUUUAUUAAGGACGAAAAAUGACGGUACUUAAUGAAUAAGCUCCGGCUAACUACGUGCCAGCAGCCGCGGUAAUACGUAGGGAGCAAGCGUUGUCCGGAUUUACUGGGUGUAAAGGGUGCGUAGGCGGCUUUGCAAGUCAGAUGUGAAAUCUAUGGGCUCAACCCAUAAACUGCAUUUGAAACUGUAGAGCUUGAGUGAAGUAGAGGCAGGCGGAAUUCCCCGUGUAGCGGUGAAAUGCGUAGAGAUGGGGAGGAACACCAGUGGCGAAGGCGGCCUGCUGGGCUUUAACUGACGCUGAGGCACGAAAGCGUGGGUAGCAAACAGGAUUAGAUACCCUGGUAGUCCACGCUGUAAACGAUGAUUACUAGGUGUGGGGGGUCUGACCCCUUCCGUGCCGGAGUUAACACAAUAAGUAAUCCACCUGGGGAGUACGGCCGCAAGGUUGAAACUCAAAGGAAUUGACGGGGGCCCGCACAAGCAGUGGAGUAUGUGGUUUAAUUCGAAGCAACGCGAAGAACCUUACCAGGUCUUGACAU
rnacentral:rRNA from 1 species